rnacentral:rRNA from 2 species
GAUGCGCUCUAUAAUGCAGUCGAGCGAACUGAUUAGAAGCUUGCUUCUAUGACGUUAGCGGCGGACGGGUGAGUAACACGUGGGCAACCUGCCUGUAAGACUGGGAUAACUUCGGGAAACCGAAGCUAAUACCGGAUAGGAUCUUCUCCUUCAUGGGAGAUGAUUGAAAGAUGGUUUCGGCUAUCACUUACAGAUGGGCCCGCGGUGCAUUAGCUAGUUGGUGAGGUAACGGCUCACCAAGGCAACGAUGCAUAGCCGACCUGAGAGGGUGAUCGGCCACACUGGGACUGAGACACGGCCCAGACUCCUACGGGAGGCAGCAGUAGGGAAUCUUCCGCAAUGGACGAAAGUCUGACGGAGCAACGCCGCGUGAGUGAUGAAGGCUUUCGGGUCGUAAAACUCUGUUGUUAGGGAAGAACAAGUACGAGAGUAACUGCUCGUACCUUGACGGUACCUAACCAGAAAGCCACGGCUAACUACGUGCCAGCAGCCGCGGUAAUACGUAGGUGGCAAGCGUUAUCCGGAAUUAUUGGGCGUAAAGCGCGCGCAGGCGGUUUCUUAAGUCUGAUGUGAAAGCCCACGGCUCAACCGUGGAGGGUCAUUGGAAACUGGGGAACUUGAGUGCAGAAGAGAAAAGCGGAAUUCCACGUGUAGCGGUGAAAUGCGUAGAGAUGUGGAGGAACACCAGUGGCGAAGGCGGCUUUUUGGUCUGUAACUGACGCUGAGGCGCGAAAGCGUGGGGAGCAAACAGGAUUAGAUACCCUGGUAGUCCACGCCGUAAACGAUGAGUGCUAAGUGUUAGAGGGUUUCCGCCCUUUAGUGCUGCAGCUAACGCAUUAAGCACUCCGCCUGGGGAGUACGGUCGCAAGACUGAAACUCAAAGGAAUUGACGGGGGCCCGCACAAGCGGUGGAGCAUGUGGGUUUAAUUCGAAGCAACGCGAAGAACCUUACCAGGUCUUGACAUCCUCUGACAACUCUAGAGAUAGAGCGUUCCCCUUCGGGGACAGAGUGACAGGUGGUGCAUGGUUGUCGUCAGCUCGUGUCGUGAGAUGUGGGGUAGUCCGCACGAGCGCACCUUGAUCCUAGCUGCAAGCAUUAGUGGCACCUCUACUGACUGCCGUGACAAGCGAGAAGUGGGAUGACGUCAAAUCAUCUGACCUAUGACCUGGGUCUACACACGUGCAUUACAAUUGAU